GGAGUUUGGUCCGUGUCUCAGUACCAAUGUGGGGGACCUUCCUCUCAGAACCCCUACCGAUCGAUGCCCCGGUGGGCCGUUACCCCGCCGGCAAGCUAAUCAGACGCAUCCCCAUCCUAUAGCGGUGAACCUUUGAUUCAAAUUAGAUGCCCGCUUUGAAUAACAUAGAGCAUUAAUCCGACUUUCGCCGGGCUAUUCUCUACUAUAGGGAAGGUUGGAUACGCGUUACUCACCCGUGCGCCGGUCGCCAUCAAAGUUUGCAAGCAAACUUCAUGCUGCCCCUCGACUUGCAUGUGUUAAGCCUGUAGCUAGCGUUCAUC
rnacentral:rRNA from 1 species